GCAUCCUUCAUUUAUUCUACCGUACGUCGUACGUCUUGAGCCUGUAUAGACAGCAUAGUUAAACCUGGAAAGGAUUAACUCACCUCGUAACGUUCGGUGUAUGCGUGCUAAAUUUGUUCGCCAUGUCAGUUACCCUGUUUAAUUUGACUUUUGGAUGUUUUUACUGUUUGAUUUGAUGUUUUUGUUAACGAUUAUGAUUGAGCAGCCGCUUUCGUUAUCUUAUGGAAGCAUUUUGAAAGAUGUGGUAGUUUUGUGUGGAUUGUUUUAUAUCAUUAUUUUUCCUAAACCCAAUAGGAACAAAAUCAGUAAACACAAAUGUGUGACCAUUGCUGCGGCGCUAUCAAACGCUCUUUUCUAGCUUUCAUCUUUGUUCUAGCACCCUUUUCUUCUCUAGAACCACUGCCUUCGAGUGGCAUUGUUUUACAUUUUCUUAAAUUUCAAUAUCAAACUAAUUUUCUUCAGUUUACUUUCAGCUAGUUUCCUGCUUUUGCCAGUGUUCAUAAGUUAGGCUUUCUUGUCAGGGGUUUCGUGUCCCGUGGAUAGUGCAUCACAUCUAUGAGGAUACAAGAGUGAUGGGAUAAGAUAGAAAAGGUCGUGAAACCGAGCAAAAUAGUGAAUAGGUACUAUUGUUUCACCAUUUUCCGUUCAACAAUUAGGGCAUCUUUCCAGCUGCGCACGAUUGAUUUUUUUAAAUGUAAAAGGUAACGCUAUCUAAGCAAAAAAUUAUCGCGAUAAAACAUUUAUAGUUUUGUGAACAUGCGAAUGUGUUUUUUGUGUGUUUUUGCAUUUCGCCACUUUCAACUGUAUCUUUCUUUUUUCGAUCAGCCAAACCACUUAGGUUCGGUUUGAUAAGAGAACCUUAUUGUAAGACCCUAGUGCAGCGCACCCGAACGCAGUUGAUAUUGAAAUGAGUAUUUUGGAAAAUUGUUUUUAGAUUUAUUUUCCUCUUUUGCCUAGGUGUUGUUCUUGCUGUUACCAUUGCUUCUAGCCGAACGUAGUUUUGUGUUGAGUGCAACGAAACUAUGCUUUCAGUUGUAAAGAGUUAUGAAUUUGAGUUUGUUUCUGCAAAUGAAAUUUGCAUCAAUGAUAGAGAAAAAAGAAUCCCCUACCUGGCUGUGAGAAGAAGCAUUUUCGAUGGAUCUCUUCGCGAUACGAAGGAUAGCUUCGUCAGUUAUUGAGUGUAACCGUUUUAGACAAAUUCUUAUCAAAUGCUAUUUACUUAGCUAGGAUAGUAUUACUCGCGUGAUGGAUGAGUACCAUAAAGCGCAACAAUUGAAAGACUGAUUAGAAAUAUGCCAGGUGUUAAUAGAAUCGGGGUCCCGACACCUAAUGAAGCAAUCAUGCCAGGCAUAAUGCAUAUCUCACCCUAAAGUACAAAGAUGUCUUGUGCGUGAUAACGAGACGAGUUAGUGAAAUUGAAAAAUAAAAUCAUGGGACGAUUCACAAUCAAACGGGUACUAAACACGCUACGAGGAUGCCAAGCCGACCUGGAACCCGCUCGCAACGCGUUGGCUUAGUAUAUACAGAGAUUGUUAAGGCGGCCUGCAGGUCUGAAGGGCAUUUACUCAAACGCGUAGAUGCGUAGCAUGUAGAACGGAAAAUGUGUGCAAUCGAUAAGGUGCUUCUUCGUUCGAAUGGAACAGCCCCUGAUACUGGGAAACAGAAACUAGCAAAUUGAUAGCAAAGCUUGAAAGAAAUGUUAAAAAUGUGUCGAAUUAAUAAAAGAAAAC